AUUGAACGCUGGCGGCAGGCCUAACACAUGCAAGUCGAGCGUGCGGCGGACGGGUGAGUAAUGUAUGGGGACUGCCCGAUAUAGGGGGAUAACUACUGGAAACGGUAGCUAAUACCGCAUACUAUCGGAUAACCCAUAUGGGUUUAGCUAGUGGGUGAGGUAAUGGCUCACCUAGGAGACGAUCCCUAGCGGGUCUGAGAGGAUGAUCAGCCACACUGGGACGGAGACACGGCCCAGACUCCUACGGAGGCAGCAGUGGGAAACAUUGGACAAUGGGCGAAAGCCUGAUGCAGCCAUGCCGCGUGUAUGAAGAAGGCCCUAGGGUUGUAAAGUACUUUCAGUCGGGAGGCGUUACCGACAGAAGAAGCAACGGCUAACUCCGUGCCAGCCGCCGCGGUAAUUC
rnacentral:rRNA from 1 species